CCUACGGGUGGCAGCAGUGGGGAAUAUUGGACAAUGGGCGAAAGCCUGAUCCAGCCAUGCCGCGUGUGUGAAGAAGGCCUUCGGGUUGUAAAGCACUUUCAGUGGGGAAGAAAGCCUUGGGGCUAAUACCCUCGAGGAAGGACAUCACCCACAGAAGAAGCACCGGCUAACUCCGUGCCAGCAGCCGCGGUAAUACGGAGGGUGCGAGCGUUAAUCGGAAUUACUGGGCGUAAAGCGCGCGUAGGCGGUCUGAUAAGCCGGUUGUGAAAGCCCCGGGCUCAACCUGGGAACGGCAUCCGGAACUGUCAGGCUAGAGUGCAGGAGAGGAAGGUAGAAUUCCCGGUGUAGCGGUGAAAUGCGUAGAGAUCGGGAGGAACACCAGUGGCGAAGGCGGCCUUCUGGACUGACACUGACGCUGAGGUGCGAAAGCGUGGGUAGCAAACAGGAUUAGAUACCCGGGUAGUC
rnacentral:rRNA from 1 species